rnacentral:rRNA from 1 species
GCGACGACGGGUAGCCGGCCUGAGAGGGUGACCGGCCACACUGGGACUGAGACACGGACCAGACACCUACSGGAGGCAGCAGUGGGGAAUAUUGCACAAUGGGCGGAAGCCUGAUGCAGCGACGCCGCGUGAGGGAUGACGGCCUUCGGGUUGUAAACCUCUUUCAGUAGGGAAGAAGCGCAAGUGACGGUACCUGCAGAAGAAGCGCCGGCUAACUACGUGCCAGCAGCCGCGGUAAUACGUAGGGCGCAAGCGUUGUCCGGAAUUAUUGGGCGUAAAGAGCUCGUAGGCGGUCUGUCGCGUCUGCUGUGAAAGCCCGGGGCUCAACCCCGGGUCUGCAGUGGGUACGGGCAGACUAGAGUGCAGUAGGGGAGACUGGAAUUCCUGGUGUAGCGGUGAAAUGCGCAGAUAUCAGGAGGAACACCGAUGGCGAAGGCAGGUCUCUGGGCUGUUACUGACGCUGAGGAGCGAAAGCAUGGGGAGCGAACAGGAUUAGAUACCCUGGUAGUCCAUGCCGUAAACGUUGGGCACUAGGUGUGGGGGACAUUCCACGUUCUCCGCGCCGUAGCUAACGCAUUAAGUGCCCCGCCUGGGGGAGUACGG